rnacentral:misc_RNA from 1 species
GAUGAAGAACGUAGUGAAAUGCGACAAGUAAUGUGAAUUGCAGAAUUCAGUGAAUCAUCGAAUCUUUGAACGCACAUUGCGCCCGCCAGUAUUCUGGCGGGCAUGUCUGUUCGAGCGUCAUUUCAACCAUCAAGCCCCGGGCUUGUGUUGGGGACCUGCGGCUGCCGCAGGCCCUGAAAUGCAGUGGCGGGCUCGCUGUCACUCCGAGCGUAGUAGUUACAUCUCGCUCUGGGCGUGCUGCGGGUUCCGGCCGUUAAAAGCCUUAUUUACCCAAGGUUGACCUCGGAUCAGGUAGGAAGACCCGCUGAACUUAAGCAUAUCAAUAAGCGGAGGA